GAGAACGAGAAGAGAGAUAGGAGAGAGAGAGAGAGCAAGACAGAGAGACAGAGAGGGAAACAGAAAAGGAAAGAUAGAGAGAGUGGUGUGGUGAGGGUGGAAGCUGGUGUGGUGAGGGUGAUAGCUGAGGGUGGUGAGGGUGGAAGCUGGCGUGGUGAGGGUGAUAGCUGGCGGUGGUGAGGGUGGAAGCUGGCUGGGGUGAAUCAUUAACAGGUGCCGGUGGAGUGACGUCCUUCGCGGUCAUUAAGCCGACGUUUGGUUUUUUUCUCGGAGCCGUCACCUCUGCGCUGGGGUCAGAGGUCAGAGAGACGGAGGGAUCCCUCCCUCACUCUGCCCCUCCCUCACUCUGCCCCCCCCCCCUCUCUCACUCUGCCCCUCCAUCAUUCAUUCCCCCCCCUCUCUCUCUCU
ensembl:lncRNA